rnacentral:rRNA from 1 species
AUGCAGGCAGAUAUGUUCCUGACCAAGCUGACCAGCAUGUGCAAGAGGAGCACGGAGAAGGGCUCUAUGUGGGUCACCAUGAAGCGAUUGUUGAUGAAGUGUCAGGCUAGGUUGAAGAAGAUGGCGAGUAAUGGGGAGCCUGUUGAGUACCGGUGCCUGGUCUGCGCCACCGAUGGCAAGAGGAACAUCUCCACCUCGAAAUAG